AGCUCAUUCCAAAUGAAAAUGGAAGCAGUUGAUCAUGGUAUCCAGAAUUGCUAAUGUGGCUAUAUUGAGACACAAGUUAUGCUUUCAUCACAGUAAAUUUAUUGCAGGGGUGAUGAUGAAGCCUGUCACAUCU
ensembl:snoRNA